rnacentral:tRNA from 1 species
GAACUAAGUAAGCCCUAAGUAAAGCUUCUAACUUUAACUUAAAGCAGUGAAAUCCUGUUUUUAGUUCC